UCUUUCUAGAGGUUCCGAAGUUGGGCAGA
rnacentral:piRNA from 1 species